rnacentral:lncRNA from 1 species
GUAUUGAAAAAUGGCUCAAUAACAAUAGAACAACUUAUGGUUAUUCCAGAGAAAUAGAUUGGAGAGAAAAAAUUCUUCUUAUUCUCUUUUGAAAGCCUUUAGACUUUUGUUUUUAGUCAUUUCUGGUUUUUUUUUUAAUUUUUUCUACUAAUUCAAUUGCUUGAGAGGAAAGAAUCUGUAUUUAAAAUCCCCAAUUCUCAGCAAUUGCAUUCAAACACUACCGCUUGUUAGUCAGCAUAUCCACUUUUCGUUUAGAUUUCAAAGUUUGUUUUUAACCAUAGUCCAAUGUUUUCCUGUUUAGUUUUCCCUAGAACUGGUUCAACCUAUAUUUCUCAUUUCCCAAAAUGACAGUGAGUUCAAUGGCAAUAUGUUUAUCAGUGAGGGCGGGCUUCAAAUGUGUGCAAAUUAAGUCCAACGGUCCUAACUCUCCAAUGGGAGGACUAUUUAAAGUAUUUCAGUAUAGACAUAUUAUUUUUCUGUUUACAAUCGAAACUUCUUUUAGUGACAAAUACUAAUUUCUGAUAGUCUGAGCUUAUCUAAGAGACAUCACUGGCUUUAAGGAAACUGAAGUGUUCUUUGUUAUUCUUACUUACUCAUCACUGAACAAAGCUGUUUUUUCACUUGAAGCAAGAAGACUGAAUUCCUACACCAUUAUUAUAUGCUCACAAACACUAUGAUGGGCAUGCAGACACGGCGGUCCAACUCUAUUCGUAAUUAUUCACGCCAGUAGAAAGGAGACUGAGACAACACAGAGCUGAACACAGUCCAAAAGCCUUAUGCAUUUCAGUUUAGAAAGUCCUGCUUGACUUUCAUUUGGAGAUGGAAAAUUUACCAAACUGAUACAUGAACUGAGUAUUUAUUAGGCAUCCGCCGUAUAAAGCAUUUUAAGCACUAGGGGACAUUACAGGGUAUAAAAGGAAUACCUGGUAAGUGGUUUGCUGAGAGAUCAAUCAACAGGAGGGAAAACAGCACAGCGGUGAUGCUCUCUUGAGAAGGCAGGGCAAUGAUGGAUCAACUCAGGAAAUAAUCGCCAAAUCCUAGUUAUGAAACGGUGAAAAACAGAGCUCGCUUCUUGGGUGAAAUUUAUCUUUGCUCCAGAAUUGAAGGGCACAUUGGCCAUAGUUUUCUUUUUUUUUUUUUUUUNNNNNNNNNNNNNNNNNNNNNNNNNNNNNNNNNNNNNNNNNNNNNNNNNNNNNNNNNNNNNNNAUCAUCCCACCCUCUCCCUCUCCCUCUGAGUCCAAAAGUCCAUUAAAGAAUGGAAACAUAUUCCAGAACCCCAGAAAAAUCAUGGAGAGGAAAGACCAAAUAAAGUCACCGCCUUCUGGCUGCAGGAUGGGUUGUGGUAAGGGACUUGUCUAAUGUAAAAUGUAUCAACAGCAGAACAGAGCCUAAAAUUUCUGUUUCAUGAACCCUCACUGAGUGGAGAAAUAGUGUCCCAGUAUUCUAUUACUGGAUUAAAUUCCAUUUCUCCACAGAACAGUUUUAAUUGUUACUGUGACUAUGGCCACGUAACACAACCAGUUAAAUCAGUUUCAUCAGUUCCAUUGACUUAACUGGGGUUGAAAACUACAUACCAAGCCAGCCAACGUCCAAGUCACAUUGACAAACGUGUUCCUCAUCACACGUGCCCCACAUAUGUUUUCAUAGUGGCCAUAUAGCUAGAAUGCACCAGUAUGAUAGUACCAGUUGUUAGAAUAGUAAAACAUUUGUCUUCUAGUUGGUAAGAUUGCAUCUCUGAUAGACCCUUCAAAUGACUUCACAACCACAAGAGCCACCCAGACUUCUCAAAUAGUCUCGAUAAUCUAGUAGCUGAAGGAGACACAAUCAGGCCCCUUGAGGACCCUGCUUCAAUCUGACUGGCCAGUGCUUGGGCCAGCAGUUAUUCUGAUUGGUCAAUACCGAUAGUGCGCCAGAGGUUAUUACUCCUACCUUUCACUUCCAUAUUGUUCA